GACGGAGGGUGCAAACGUUGUUCGGAAUUACUGGGCGUAAAGCGCGUGUAGGCGGCUCGGAAAGUCGGGUGUGAAAGCCCUGGGCUCAACCUAGGAAGUGCACUCGAAACUUCCGAGCUGGAGUUCUGGAGAGGAAGGCGGAAUUCUCGGUGUAGAGGUGAAAUUCGUAGAUAUCGAGAGGAACACCGGUGGCGAAGGCGGCCUUCUGGACAGCAACUGACGCUGAGACGCGAAAGCGUGGGGAGCAAACAGG
rnacentral:rRNA from 1 species